rnacentral:rRNA from 2 species
GGGGSSCUGCUACAGCUAUASYAUGMUMGUSGMWCRAURAACCUCCUUCGGGAGGGGAUAAGUGGCGAACGGGUGAGUAACACGUGGGCAAUCUGCCCUUCACUCUGGGACAAGCCCUGGAAACGGGGUCUAAUACCGGAUAUGACACGGGGUCGCAUGAUCUCCGUGUGGAAAGCUCCGGCGGUGAAGGAUGAGCCCGCGGCCUAUCAGCUUGUUGGUGGGGUGAUGGCCUACCAAGGCGACSACGGGUAGCCGGCCUGAGAGGGCGACCGGCCACACUGGGACUGAGACACGGCCCAGACUCCUACGGGAGGCAGCAGUGGGGAAUAUUGCACAAUGGGCGAAAGCCUGAUGCAGCGACSCCGCGUGAGGGAUGACGGCCUUCGGGUUGUAAACCUCUUUCAGCAGGGAAGAAGCGAAAGUGACGGUACCUGCAGAAGAAGCGCCGGCUAACUACGUGCCAGCAGCCGCGGUAAUACGUAGGGCGCAAGCGUUGUCCGGAAUUAUUGGGCGUAAAGAGCUCGUAGGCGGCUUGUCACGUCGGAUGUGAAAGCCCGGGGCUUAACCCCGGGUCUGCAUUCGAUACGGGCAGGCUAGAGUUCGGUAGGGGAGAUCGGAAUUCCUGGUGUAGCGGUGAAAUGCGCAGAUAUCAGGAGGAACACCGGUGGCGAAGGCGGAUCUCUGGGCCGAUACUGACGCU